GACGAACGCUGGCGGCGUGCCUAAUACAUGCAAGUCGAACGCACGAGGUUGAAGAGCUUGCUCUUUAACCAAGUGAGUGGCGGACGGGUGAGUAACACGUGGGUAACCUGCCCAUUAGAGGGGGAUAACAUUCGGAAACGGAUGCUAAUACCGCAUAGUUUCAGGAAUCGCAUGAUUCUUGAAGGAAAGGUGGCUUCGGCUACCACUAAUGGAUGGACCCGCGGCGUAUUAGCUAGUUGGUGAGGUAAUGGCUCACCAAGGCAAUGAUACGUAGCCGACCUGAGAGGGUGAUCGGCCACACUGGGACUGAGACACGGCCCAGACUCCUACGGGAGGCAGCAGUAGGGAAUCUUCCGCAAUGGACGAAAGUCUGACGGAGCAACGCCGCGUGAGUGAAGAAGGUUUUCGGAUCGUAAAACUCUGUUGUUAAAGAAGAACAAGGAUGAGAGUAACUGCUCAUCCCCUGACGGUAUUUAACCAGAAAGCCACGGCUAACUACGUGCCAGCAGCCGCGGUAAUACGUAGGUGGCAAGCGUUGUCCGGAUUUAUUGGGCGUAAAGCGAGCGCAGGCGGUUCUUUAAGUCUGAUGUGAAAGCCCCCGGCUCAACCGGGGAGGGUCAUUGGAAACUGGAGAACUUGAGUGCAGAAGAGGAGAGUGGAAUUCCACGUGUAGCGGUGAAAUGCGUAGAUAUGUGGAGGAACACCAGUGGCGAAGCGACUCUCUGGUCUGUAACUGACGCUGAGGCUCGAAAGCGUGGGGAGCAAACAGG
rnacentral:rRNA from 1 species